GGUGGCCUAGUGGUUAGAGCAUCCACCUCAAAAGCGGAAGGUCGCGGGUUCUAACCCCGGUUGCAUCA